UAAACAAAACGAUGAGGUCACGCACAACAUAUGUGAAGACUGGGGUUAAUUGCGUUUGCGGUAAGAGUUGAUACUGCCAUAUGGAUGUCCCUUGGCUUCCUCGAGAUCCACAAGUUCUUUCAAAGAUGGUACAUCUACAUGCCUUAUUGUCUUCCACUGUAAUUGGUCCAGGCUUGCUCUUAAUUCACUCGGACUUUCCUGGCAAGGUGGUACCUGCAGAUGUAGUCAUAUUUAGCUCGAGCAUAGUUUUCCUUAGCUCAGCUGAGAGAAGGGCAAGUUGUAGCAUAUAUACUACUCAGCUUAUAUGUUGUAAAAUAGUUGCAAGCAAGUCAUUGUUCAUUAUAUCAAUACAUCAGGUUUGCACAACACUCA